rnacentral:rRNA from 1 species
GAUCCUGGCUCAGGAUGAACGCUAGCUACAGGCUUAACACAUGCAAGUCGAGGGGCAUCAGUUUGGUUUGCUUGCAAACCAAAGUUGGCGACCGGCGCACGGGUGAGUAACACGGUAUCCAACCUACCUCAUACUCGGGGGAUAGCCUUUCGGAAAGAAAGAUUAAUAUCCGAUAGCAUAUAUUUCCCGCAUGGGUUUUAUAUUAAAGAAAUUCGGUAUGAGAUGGGGAUGCGUUCCAUUAGUUUGUUGGGGGGGGGUAAACCGG